rnacentral:rRNA from 1 species
UACGUAGGCAGCAAGCGUUGUUCGGAGUUACUGGGCGUAAAGGGUGUGUAGGCGGCUUGUUACGUUUGGUGUGAAAUCUCCCGGCUCAACUGGGAGGGUGCGGCGAAUACUGAAUGACUAGAGUGCGGGAGAGGAAAGUGGAAUUCCUGGUGUAGCGGUGAAAUGCGUAGAUAUCAGGAGGAACACCGGUGGUGUAGACGGCUUUCUGGACCGUAACUGACGCUGAGACACGAAAGCGUGGGUAGCAAACAGG